rnacentral:lncRNA from 1 species
AAACCAACCAAACCAAUACACCACAACCCUCUUUCUCUCCCUUUCUUUCUGCUGCUGUAAUCUACUUACAUUACAGAAGCCCCAAAAGUACUACUUCAUCUGCAAUAAUGUCUUGCUCCAACCUCACUAUGUUGGUAUCUUCAAAACCUUCCCUUUCUGAUGCCUCCAACCUCUCCUUCCGUUCUGUUCUUAAUCCUUUUCAGCUCCCUUCACAAAACUCACCCUCAUGCAGCCCCUCACGGUCUUCUGUCACCCCAAUACAGUGUGGUCUCAGAGAGCUCAGAACCCGCAUU